rnacentral:lncRNA from 1 species
AAAAAUCUUAUGCAGAAUCCUAAGUAAUACAGGACACAGAGGGGAAUUGAUCUGGUGCUAUUCAAGAGGAAGUACUUAGAACACUGUCCACAUCUUAUGUACUGAGGUACGGUAGAAGAAAUAAAGAAGUGACAUACCUCAUUUCUUGAACACCUGCACUCAACUCUUGGAUGUGUACUUCUAAAAUUCUGCCUAAUAG